rnacentral:rRNA from 1 species
GCCACAGCCUCAUCACCCUGCAGCCCAAGAGCUGCGAAUCACUGAAGCUAAGCAGGGCUGAGCCUGGUCAGUGUCUGGAUUGGAGACCACAUGGGAACACUAGGCUGCUGCUGGCA